CAGCCGCCGCGGUAAUACGUAGGGGGCGAGCGUUGUCCGAAGUUACUGGGCGUAAAGCGCGCGUAGGCGGCUUCUUAAGUCUGAGGUGAAAGGUUCAACGCUUAACGUGAACAGUGCCUCGGAUACUGGGGAGCUUGAGUAUGGGAGAGGGCAGUGGGAUGGCUGGCGUAGCGGUGAAAUGCGUAGAUAUCAGUCGGAACACCCAUGGCGAAGGCAGCUGCCUGGCCUAAUACUGACGCUGAGGUGCGAAAGCGUGGGGAGCGAACAGGAUUAGAGACCCGAGUAGUCCCUGUCUCUUAUA
rnacentral:rRNA from 1 species